rnacentral:rRNA from 1 species
GACAUAGGUGACGAACGUUAUCCGGAAUUAUUGGGCGUAAAGGAUGCGUAGAUGGUUCGAUAAGUUACUAGUGGGAAAUCGAGGCCCAACCUCGUGGAAGUUAGUAAUACUGUCGAGCUUGAGUGCAGGAGAGGUUAACGGAACUUUAUGUGGAGCGGUAAAAUGCGUAGAUAUAUGAAAGAACAUCGAUAUAGCGAAGGCAGUUAACUAUUCUGCUACUGACAUUGAGGCAGUGAAAGCGUGGGGAGCAAAACGG